GAUGAACGCUGGCGGCGUGCCUAAUACAUGCAAGUCGAGCGAACGGACGAGGAGCUUGCUCCUCUGACGUUAGCGGCGGACGGGUGAGUAACACGUGGAUAACCUACCUAUAAGACUGGGAUAACUUCGGGAAACCGGAGCUAAUACCGGAUAAUAUGUUGAACCGCAUGGUUCAACAGUGAAAGACGGUCUUGCUGUCACUUAUAGAUGGAUCCGCGCUGCAUUAGCUAGUUGGUAAGGUAACGGCUUACCAAGGCAACGAUGCGUAGCCGACCUGAGAGGGUGAUCGGCCACACUGGAACUGAGACACGGUCCAGACUCCUACGGGAGGCAGCAGUAGGGAAUCUUCCGCAAUGGGCGAAAGCCUGACGGAGCAACGCCGCGUGAGUGAUGAAGGUCUUCGGAUCGUAAAACUCUGUUAUUAGGGAAGAACAAAUGUGUAAGUAACUAUGCACGUCUUGACGGUACCUAAUCAGAAAGCCACGGCUAACUACGUG
rnacentral:rRNA from 1 species